rnacentral:rRNA from 1 species
CCCUUAGAUGUUCUGGGCUGCACGCGCGCUACACUGAUGCGCUCAACGAGUUUUAACCUUGCCUGGAAAGGUUGGGUAAUCUUUUUAAAACGCAUCGUGAUGGGGAUAGAUUAUUGCAAUUAUUAAUCUUCAACGAGGAAUUCCUAGUAAGCGCGAGUCAUCAGCUCGUGCUGAUUACGUCCCUGCCCUUUGUACACACCGCCCGUCGCUGCUACCGAUUUUGAGUGAUCCGGUGAACCUUCUGGACUGUAUCGGGGCUUGACUCCGGCGUGGGAAAUUAAGUAAACCUUAUCACUUAGAGGAAGCAGAAGUCGUAACA